rnacentral:lncRNA from 1 species
CCCUCGCAUCUGUGGCUGGGCUCUUCAGCCCCUCUGUAUCCACACCCCCUCCUUGUGAAUCUGCACUUCUUCCCCUCAGGAGAGGCUGUGCUAGAUUAAAAAUGGCCUUGAAUUCACCAUGGCUACAGGUUUCGUCAUGAGAUGGACGCACCUGGCCAGCCCACUUGUCCCAGGAGGAGGAUGAGAGGCACAUGGAGCAGAGCCAGCCUGGCACAGCUGAGCCCAGCCAAACCC